AUACGGAGGGUGCAAGCGUUACUCGGAAUCACUGGGCGUAAAGCGCGCGCAGGCGGCUAUUUAAGUUGGAUGUGAAAGCCUACGGCUCAACCGUAGAACUGCAUCCAAAACUAUUUAGCUAGAGUGUGGGAGAGGAAGAUGGAAUUAGUUGUGUAGGGGUAAAAUCCGUAGAGAUAACUAGGAAUACCAAAAGCGAAGGCAAUCUUCUGGAACACUACUGACGCUGAGGCGCGAAGGCGUGGGAAGCAAACAGGAUUAGAAACCCUAGUAGUCC
rnacentral:rRNA from 1 species